rnacentral:rRNA from 1 species
UACGUAGGGGGCAAGCGUUGUCCGGAAUCAUUGGGCGUAAAGAGCGCGUAGGCGGCCCGGUAAGUCCGCUGUAAAAGUCCAGGGCUCAACCCUGGAAAGCCGGUGGAUACUGUCGGGCUAGAGUCCGGAAGAGGCGAGUGGAAUUCCCGGUGUAGCGGUGGAAUGCGCAGAUAUCAGGAAGAACACCUAUGGCGAAGGCAGCUCUCUGGGACGGUACUGACGCUGAGACGCGAAAGCGUGGGGAGCGAACAGG